rnacentral:rRNA from 1 species
UACGAAGGUGGCAAGCGUUACUCGGAAUUACUAGGCGUAAAGGGCAGGUAGGUGGUCUGAUAAGUCUGUUGUGAAAGCUCCCGGCUUAACUGGGAGAGGUCAAUGGAUACUAUCAGGCUUGAGUAUGGGAGAGGGUACUGGAAUUCCUGGUGUAGCGGUGAAAUGCGCAGAUAUCAGGAGGAACACCGAUGGCGAAAGCAGGUACCUGGACCAUUACUGACACUCAGCUGCGAAAGCUAGGGGAGCAAACAGG